CACACACAAAUAAAAACAGGCCUCAGAUUUUAAAUGUAACAUUAAUUAAAAAUCCGAGAUAUCCAAUUAUGAAGUUGUGAUUUUUAAGGAAAUUAAAUAAUAAUUUUCUAAAAUAUAACAUGCACAUACUUUUUUUGA